UUUUUUUCUCAUCGGUGGUGGCAGCCCCCACCCACAGCAGUUUCUGGCAGUUUCAGAGGAGGGUCAAACACAUCACGGGGCGAAGUGCCUUCUUCUCAUAUUACGGAUAUGGCUGCUACUGUGGGCUUGGGGAUAAAGGGAUCCCCGUGGAUGACACUGACAGGACAGCUGCCCCCACCCUGCAAAAAAGCCUGGGCUAGCCUGCUGGAGGAUGAGAGCCCACCUGGAUCAGUUGUCUCAGCUGAUUUCAGACACGUGAGAGAGAGCUCAGCGAGACUCAGCUUGUAGCUGACUACAGAUGUGUGAGGGAACCUGGCUGAGACCAAAACAACUGUCCAGCUGAGCCCAGGCUAAACUGCCAACAUGCA
rnacentral:lncRNA from 10 species